GGAAUUAUUGAAAUAAUUAGACUUGUAUUUUCUGUCGUUACUGGUUUCAUCGCACUCUAUGUUUACGUUUCAGCAGCAGAUGAUUUGCAUGAAUUGAGUACAAAAAUAUCAUGGUUUGUAUACGAAUCAUCGUGGAUCGGAAAACCAAUAGCAAUGCGUAAAUCAAUAAUUGUAUUAAUUCGUCGAACACAAAAGGCACUUGCCAUUUCUGUGAAAGGAAUUAUUCCUGCUCUUACAAGAAUUUUCUACGCUUCGUAUUUAUCGUUCGUUCUAUUUUAUUACAUGACUUUGCGCGCUUUAUUCAAAUUAACAGAUUGAGAGACUGAAUAUCCAAAUAAAUGUUAUUUUUAAGUAAUCG